rnacentral:sRNA from 1 species
AGUUGCUCAUUCACCUUACUUAUGACAGCCCCGCUUACGCGGACUAUGCGCUCCAUAAGACCCGAAUGACGCCAAAGCAAGGUGCCUAUCGUCCACCGCACCGAUACCGCUGAAAGGCGCUAUCAACCGCAGGGCGACACGUUGAGUGAGGCACCA